GGCAGCCACAGACCAGGGGUCACAGGCUCUUGUGUGGUCACCCACCUAGGGACCUUAAAACCAAGGUCCCCUUGGACUCCAGCCCCUUGGAGCUGACCCGUCUCCUCGCUUUGGUGUUCCCCUCCCACAGCAGGAGAUCGGGCGCCGAGAACCGGAGCGCAGGGGACCCUCAGGCCUCCGGGACCGCACACCGGCUCCGCACACGCCAGUAUAGCACCCCCAAAACGCGCCUGGCCUCCAGCUAGACCCUAAGUGUACGUGCCCAUCUCCACAGCCCUGCAGACCCUCCAGGCCUUCCAGCACUGACCGUUCUCCCCCUCAAGGGCAGCGGCCAUCCCCCGCACCCCCUCAUUCAGGACCCUUCCCACAUGCCGGCCGGAAACCCAGCCCAGAGCUUUCCCAUGAUGACACCUGAGUCCUUGUCUGCCUGUGGCCUCGAUGCCUUUGUUCAGCCCAGGGGAGCUGGCUGGAAGGGGCUGCUACCUGGUGGAAGAGAAAAAUUUCAUUCCUGUCAGUGUGCGCCCCACCUCUGCGUACUCCUCCCAGUAGCAGCGCCCAGAGCCUGCAGAGGGUGAGGAGGCCGGCCUCGGAACCCUCCCAAAGCCGCCAGGCAACCUUGGCCCCAGCUAGCUCCCUGAUGCCCCGGUGGCGCCCCGACCCCCAGAAAGGGAAGGGCCGGCUCCAGUAGCCCCUCACCCCCAGCAGCAGUUCAAUCACUCGGUGAGGCUGGCGGGAGACCGGGAAAUGGGGGCGGGAGAGCCACCUGCAUCCAGAGAAGCACGGCGUCCUCACCCAGUCGGGACCAACCCGAGACCCCUGGCCCCGGCGGGCCUCGGCCUUCCACCGCGGGGGCCGGGUAGGCGGCUGUCUCUGCAGGCUUUGGUGGUGGCUGCGUUCCUGGGAGACAGGCUCGGAAGCGCCAGCGUCUCGUGGCCGGUGCUUGGAGCCGUGCAGGGUGUGGUCCCCCUGGUGGGUCUCAGUGCUGAGCCCAUCCCCCUGCACACCGCCUCUCUUUCGCGGACCGCCUGUCCUCCAUCCGCUAUCAGACGCUAUCGGAAGCUGAGAGACCAACGCCGCUGCAGUGUCGCAGGGAGAGCCGAGCGGAGAGGCG
rnacentral:lncRNA from 1 species